rnacentral:lncRNA from 1 species
GCCGUAUCAUAGUGUCAAUCUUGGCUAGGUGGCUUCACAUGGAGGCCAAUAACUAGGCCUAACAUAGACCACCUAAUGCUAUUUGCAAAGCAUUAGAAAUAGGGGAGGAAGUCAAAUCGAUUAUGCUAAGUUAUUAAGCUCCUGAGCUAACCUUUUUUGUUUUUUUGUCACAGCUUCCGGGUAUAUGGAGUAGUCAAAUGCCAGAGUUUAUCAUGCAAUAUUUUGUACAGAUUUGGUGAGAUCUCUCGAGCAAUGCAUGAUAUGAUUGGUUAAAUUAUUCAUAAACUAAUACCAGGUAUAGUCAACCUUAAGAUUGCCGAAUCAUUUAGAAAUUGGACAUGAGAGAAGCAUGGGCAAUCUCUAGUACAGUAUAACUAAAAGUCCACUCUAUCUCUCCAAGUCCCUAAUUAAUAGUAUCAAUAUACAUAACUGUUCUGAACAUUACAUUAAAAGGAGUGAUGUUACAUCUAUGAAAGUUGUAUAUAUACCGUCCAUGCAUACAUAAACGUGUUUGGACGACGAAGACAAUUCCGAGCUGCAUUUAAUUAGGGCCCU